rnacentral:rRNA from 1 species
GACGAACGCUGGCGGCGUGCUUAACACAUGCAAGUCGAACGAAGAGCGAUGGAAGCUUGCUUCUAUCAAUCUUAGUGGCGCACGGGUGAGUAACGCGUAAUCAACCUGCCCUUCAGAGGGGGACAACAGUUGGAAACGACUGCUAAUACCGCAUACGAUCUAACCUCGGCAUCGAGGAUAGAUGAAAGGUGGCCUCUACAUGUAAGCUAUCACUGAAGGAGGGGAUUGCGUCUGAUUAGCUAGUUGGAGGGGUAACGGCCCACCAAGGCGAUGAUCAGUAGCCGGUCUGAGAGGAUGAACGGCCACAUUGGGACUGAGACACGGCCCAGACUCCUACGGGAGGCAGCAGUGGGGAAUCUUCCGCAAUGGACGAAAGUCUGACGGAGCAACGCCGCGUGAGGGAUGACGGCCUUCGGGUUGUAAAGCUCUGUUAAUCGGGACGAAAGGCCUUCUUGCGAAUAGUGAGAAGGAUUGACGGUACCGGAAGAGAAAGCCACGGCUAACUACGUG